GACUCUGGAGGUAUCAGAAGUGAGAAUGCAGGAAUAAGUAGCGAGAAAGGGGGCGAGAAUCCCCCUCGCCGGAAGACCAAGGUUUUCAGGGUAAAGCUUGUCUUCCCUGAGUAAGCCGGGACCUAAGCCGAGGCUAAAAUGCGUAGGCGAAUGGAAAACAGAUUAAUAUUUCUGUGCCAGUUAUAUUUUGUGAUGGAGGGACGCAGAAGGGUAUGUGCGCGGGAGAACGGAAGUUCCCGUAAAAGCAUGUAGAGUGGUCUAGUAGGAAAAUCCGCUAGAUUAGACUUAAGGUGUGAUAUAUAGUCGUAAGAUGAAUGCACAAAUCCCACGCUGCCGAGAAAAGCUUCUAACGUUAAGGUAUAACUGCCCGUACCCGAAACCGACACAGGUGGUCAGGAUGAGAAAUCUAAGGCGGACAGGCUAACUCUCGUUAAGGAACUCUGCAAAAUUGCCCCGUAACUUUGGGAGAAGGGGUACCCCUGAAUGUUAGUAAUUACACAUUAUGAAGCAUUUGGGGGUCGCAGUGAAGAGGCUCAAGCAACUGUUUAACAAAAACACAGGUCUAUGCUAAGCUGUAAGGCGAUGUAUAUGGGCUGACACCUGCCCAGUGCCGGAAGGUUAAGAGGAGGAGUGAGAGCUCCGAAUUGAAGCCCCGGUGAACGGCGGCCGUAACUAUAACGGUCCUAAGGUAGCGAAAUUCCUUGUCGGGUAAGUUCCGACCUGCACGAAUGGUGUAAUGAUUUGAGCGCUGUCUUGACGGGAGGCCUGGUGAAAUUGUACUACCGGUGAAGAUACCGGUUACCUACAGUAGGACGGAAAGACCCCAUGGAGCUUUACUGUAGCUUGGUAUUGGGUUUUGGCAUUGCAUGUAUAGGAUAGUUGGGAAACUAUGAAGAUAUGGCGCUAGCUGUAUUGGAGUUGUCGGUGGAAUACCAACCAUUCAAUGUCGAAAUUCUAAUCUGUGGUUUGUAGCCACGGAAACAGUGCUAGGUGGGCAGUUUGACUGGGGCGGUCGCCUCCGAAAGAGUAACGGAGGCGUUCAAAGGUUCUCUCAGGUUGGAUGGAAAUCAACCGCAGAGUGCAAUGGCAUAAGAGAGCUUAACUGCGAGACUGACGGGUCGAGCAGGUGCGAAAGCAGGACAUAGUGAUCCGGCGAUUCCGAAUGGAAGGGUCGUCGCUCAACGGAUAAAAGCUACCCUGGGGAUAACAGGCUGAUUUUGCCCGAGAGUCCAUAUCGACGGCAAAGUUUGGCACCUCGAUGUCGGCUCAUCGCAUCCUGGGGCUGGAGAAGGUCCCAAGGGUUGGGCUGUUCGCCCAUUAAAGCGGUACGUGAGCUGGGUUCAGAACGUCGUGAGACAGUUCGGUCCCUAUCCACUGUAGGCGUUAGAAUAUUGAGAAGAUCUGUCCUUAGUACGAGAGGACCGGGAUGGACAAACCUCUGAUGUACCAGUUGUCACGCCAGUGGCACAGCUGGGUAGUCACGUUUGGAACGGAUAACCGCUGAAAGCAUCUAAGCGGGAAACCAGCUUCAAGAUAAGUAUUCUUUAAGACUCCUUCGAGACUAGAAGGUUGAUAGGUUGGGGGUGUAAGAGCUGCGAGGCUUUUAGCUGACCAAUACUAAUAAGUCAAAGUUUUAACC
rnacentral:rRNA from 1 species